GGCUGGGUUCUUGCUGUUGGCACCUGAAGAUUCUCUGUUCUCUCUCCUGAAGAGCAGUGGGCAACACUGACACCAUGGAGCAGAGGAACCAGAGUGGAAGGGUAAGUGAGUUUGUGUUGCUGGGCUUCCCAGCUCCUCCACCAGUGCAGGCACUUUUAUUUGCCUUUUCUCUGCUGGCCUAUGUGUUGGUGCUAACUGAAAAUACACUCAUCAUUAUGGCAAUUAGGAACCACCCCACCCUUCACAAACCCAUGUACUUCUUUCUGGCUAAUAUGUCCUUCUUGGAGAUCUGGUAUGUUACUGUCACUAUUCCCAAGAUGUUAGCUGGCUUUGUUGGCUCCAAACAGAGCCAUGGACAGCUGAUCUCCUUUGAGGGCUGCAUGACACAGCUCUACUUUUUCCUGGGACUGGGCUGCACUGAGUGUGUCCUUCUGGCUGUUAUGGCCUAUGACCGCUAUGUGGCCAUCGGCCACCCUCUCCACUACACUGUCAUUGUCAGUGGCCGACUGUAUGUGCAGGUGGCAGCUGGCUCCUGGGCUGGAGGUUUUAGCAUCUCCAUGGUCAAGGUUUUUCUCAUUUCUCACCUCUCCUACUGUGGACCCAACAUCAUCAACCACUUUUUCUGUGAUGUCUCCCCAUUGCUCAAUCUUUCAUGCACUGACAUGUCAACAGCAGAGCUUACAGACUUUGUUCUGGCCAUUUUUAUCCUGCUGGGGCCCCUCUCUGUCACUGGGGCCUCCUACAUGGCCAUCACUUGUGCUCUGGUGCGCAUUCCUUCAGCUGCUGGGCGCCGUAAAGCCUUUUCCACCUGUGCCUCUCACCUCACUGUUGUGAUCAUCUUCUAUGCUGCCGUAUCUUCAUCUAUGCCCGGCCAAAGGCACUCUCAACUUUUGACACCAACAAGCUGGUUUCUGUACUCUAUGCUGUCAUUGUACCAUUGCUUAACCCUAUCAUUUACUGCUUGCGCAAUCAAGAGGUCAAGAGAGCCCUACGCCAUACUCUGCACCUAUUCCAGGGCCAGGAUGCUAAGCAUGGGAAAGCUAGCAGACAUAGGUAGAAAAUGCUCUUAAACUUGGGAUCUAUAUCUUUUAAGUCCAGAGAAGUUCUUAUGGCCUAAAUUAGGGACUAG